UGUAAGGUUCCACAAGAUGUUGUGACAACAGGUGGGUAGAAUUCUCAUCUUUGUACAAUCAGAGGUUCAAUUAAAGACGCCAUGAAUGAAGAAAAGUCAAAACACCAUGAAUGGAGAAAAGUCAAAAGAGAUGGAAACUGUCACAACAUCUGGAUGUUUCAAUCCUUAAGAUUUACUACUUUUGAUGAGGAUGAGGAGGGCAAUUUGUAUCUUUUGAACAGACGAAGGAUUGGGAGAAUAAUUUGUGUCCAAGCUCACUACCUCCAGCUUAAUGUUCAACAGCUAGAAUCAAGCUAAAUUAAACUCACCCCACUGGAACAAGACUACAAGAGUUGCAAGGAGUUAGAGCUCAAAUGAUUAUAUCUUUAUUUGUUUUCUAGAAUUUAAUGCAGUUAAAUACAUUGAAUCGCACUCACUGCAUGUAUUAUGAAAUUAUA